rnacentral:rRNA from 1 species
GCAAGUCGAACGAGAAAGCGGACUUCGGUCCGUUAGUACAGUGGCAGACGGGUGAGUAACACGUGGGUAACCUGCCCGGAGGUGGGGGAUAACCUUUCGAAAGGAAGGCUAAUACCGCAUGAUAUCCCGGGGGCUUCGGCCUCCGAGCUCAAAGAUUGCCUCUACAUGUAAGCAAUCGCCACCGGAGGGACCGCGCCCCAUUAGCUUGUUGGUAAGGUAGUGGCUCACCAAGGCGACGAUGGGUAGCCGGCCUGAGAGGGUGAUC